rnacentral:rRNA from 2 species
ACAACUUUCAGCAACGGAUCUCUUGGCUCUCGCAUCGAUGAAGAACGCAGCGAAAUGCGAUAAGUAAUGUGAAUUGCAGAAUUCAGUGAAUCAUCGAAUCUUUGAACGCACCUUGCGCUCCUUGGUAUUCCGAGGAGCAUGCCUGHUUGAGAGHCAUGAA